UACGUAGGGUGCGAGCGUUAAUCGGAAUUACUGGGCGUAAAGCGUGCGCAGGCGGUUUUGUAAGCCAGAUGUGAAAUCCCCGGGCUUAACCUGGGAAUGGCAUUUGGGACUGCAAGGCUGGAGUGUGGCAGAGGAGACUGGAACUCCUGGUGUAGCAGUGAAAUGCGUAGAUAUCAGGAGGAAUACCGAUGGCGAAGGCAGGUCUCUGGGCUGACACUGACGCUCAUGCACGAAAGCGUGGGGAGCAAACAGG
rnacentral:rRNA from 1 species